rnacentral:rRNA from 1 species
GAUGAACGCUGGCGGCGUGCCUAAUACAUGCAAGUCGAGCGAACAGAUAAGGAGCUUGCUCCUUUGACGUUAGCGGCGGACGGGUGAGUAACACGUGGAUAACCUACCUAUAAGACUGGGAUAACUUCGGGAAACCGGAGCUAAUACCGGAUAACAUAUUGAACCGCAUGGUUCAAUAGUGAAAGGCGGCUUUGCUGUCACUUAUAGAUGGAUCCGCGCCGUAUUAGCUAGUUGGUAAGGUAACGGCUUACCAAGGCAACGAUACGUAGCCGACCUGAGAGGGUGAUCGGCCACACUGGAACUGAGACACGGUCCAGACUCCUACGGGAGGCAGCAGUAGGGAAUCUUCCGCAAUGGGCGAAAGCCUGACGGAGCAACGCCGCGUGAGUGACGAAGGUCUUCGGAUCGUAAAACUCUGUUAUCAGGGAAGAACAAAUGUGUAAGUAACUGUGCACAUCUUGACGGUACCUGAUCAGAAAGCCACGGCUAACUACGUG